rnacentral:rRNA from 1 species
UGGGGGAUAUUGCACAAUGGGCGAAAGCCUGAUGCAGCGACGCCGCGUGGGGGAUGAAGGCCUUCGGGUUGUAAACUUCUUUUGCUCUGAACAAGGCAUGCUAAUGGGUGUGUUGAGUGUAGGGGUUGAUUAGCGCCGGCUAACUACAUGCCAGCAGCCGCGGUAAUACGUAGGGCGCGAGCGUUGUCCGGAAUUAUUGGGCGUAAAGGGCUUGUAGGUGGCUGGUUGCGUCUGUCGUGAAAGCUCAUGGCUUAACUGUGGGUUUGCGGUGGGUACGGGCUGGCUUGAGUGCAGUAGGGGAGGCUGGAAUUCCUGGUGUAGCGGUGGAAUGCGCAGAUAUCAGGAGGAAUACCGGUGGCGAAGGCGGGUCUCUGGGCUGUUACUGACACUGAGGAGCGAAAGCAUGGGGAGCGAACAGG